GACGAACGCUGGCGGCGUGCUUAACACAUGCAAGUCGAGCGGUAAGGCCCUUUCGGGGGUACACGAGCGGCGAACGGGUGAGUAACACGUGGGUGACCUGCCCUCAGCUCUGGGAUAAGCCUGGGAAACCGGGUCUAAUACUGGAUAUGACUCCAUGACGCAUGUUGUGGGGUGGAAAGCCUUGUGCGGCUGAGGAUGGGCCCGCGGCCUAUCAGCUUGUUGGUGGGGUGANGGCCUACCAAGGCGACGACGGGUAGCCGGCCUGAGAGGGCGACCGGCCACACUGGGACUGAGACACGGCCCAGACUCCUACGGGAGGCAGCAGUGGGGAAGUCUUGCGCAAUGGGCGAAAGCCUGACGCAGCGACGCCGCGUGAGGGAUGACGGCCUGG
rnacentral:rRNA from 1 species